rnacentral:RNase_P_RNA from 1 species
ACGGAGUGGGAUGCAAUCGCUGUUGCAAAAGCUCAGCUUCUGCAAGAGAGGAAAGUCCGGACUUCAUAGAAAAAGGUGCCAGCGAAAUGCUGGGGGCCGUAAGGCCACGGAAAGUGCAACAGAAAACAAGCCGCUGUCCUUUGGAUAGAUAGGAUGAAAAUGCUGGGUUUGAGACCUAGCCCCAUAGUAGUAAUACUUUGGUGGUGCAAACCCCACCUGAAGCAAGAAAAGAAUUCGAGCUGUUUUUCGCAACCGAACUCUUUCAAAAUCGCUUGAGGAUCUUAGCGAUAAGAUCCCUAGAUGAAUGAUUGCAGCUUGCGGUUUGCAAGUGACAGAAUCCGGCUUAUUCCCCCUCCGGGAAU